rnacentral:rRNA from 1 species
ACCAUCNAGCUAAGGNNUCCCCAAGUACUAACUAAGUGAGAAAGGAGGUGGGAGUGCUUAGACAACCAGGAGGUUUGCCUAGAAGCAGCAAUCCUUGAAAGAGUGCGUAAUAGCUCACUGGUCAAGCGCUCCUGCGCCGAAAAUGAAUGGGGCUAAGUUAGUCACCGAAGCUAUGGACUACAUUGUAGUGGUAGGGGAGCGUUCUAUUAAGGGUGAAGCAUUAGCGGCAAGCAGAUGUGGACGAGAUAGAAGUGAGAAUGUCGGCUUAAGUAGCGAAAAUUAGGGUGAGAAUCCCUAACCCCGAAAGCCCAAGGGUUUCUCCAGAAGGUUCGUCCGUGGAGAGUUAGCCCGGACCUAAGGCGAAGCGAAUAGCGUAGUCGAUGGCAAGCAGGUAAAUAUUCCUGCGUGGCUUAAUUGGAGUUGCUACAGGGACCCGUGAAGACUAAGCACACCCUGAGUGGAUUGGGAGCGAGUAAUCGUGAGUGUGGAAAAAUAGCGGCAAGAAAAGCU